rnacentral:lncRNA from 1 species
AACUGGUGGGAUGUAUAAAUACCGAGCUGCGUCAAAGAGUAUUCAUCAAAAUACACAUAGAAAGAAACAAAGGUGAAGGUAAACCGCAAACAUAUAAUUAAACUCAAAACAUUAAAGAGUAUGGAAAAGCCUUGGUCUGACAAGCGAAAAGCGUCGAUAAGACGCACAUCAGUAAAUAAAAGUUCAAACCAUAACCAGGAUGGAGUACCACAAACCCCACAUAAAACUUCUGUAGUGUAAGUAUGAUGCGUUAAUAAAAUCACAUUUGGUGGUGAAUGAGUAGUAUAAACGCCCGCGAAGGUUACAAAUAUGAUGAUAAUUGUCUCCUAAUUGUUGAAAUUAUAAUUCUUAAAAUUUUAAAUCAAAAGUUACCC